AUGCAGUCGAACGAACUCUUCGGAGUUAGUGGCGCACGGGUGCGUAACGCGUGGGAAUCUGCCCUUGGGUACGGAAUAACUCAGAGAAAUUUGUGCUAAUACCGUAUAAUGUCUUCGGACCAAAGAUUUAUCGCCCAAGGAUGAGCCCGCGUAAGAUUAGCUAGUUGGUGGGGUAAAAGCCUACCAAGGCGACGAUCUUUAGCUGGUCUGAGAGGAUGAUCAGCCACACUGGGACUGAGACACGGCCCAGACUCCUACGGGAGGCAGCAGUGGGGAAUAUUGGACAAUGGGCGAAAGCCUGAUCCAGCAAUGCCGCGUGAGUGAUGAAGGCCUUAGGGUUGUAAAGCUCUUUUACCCGGGAUGAUAAUGACAGUACCGGGAGAAUAAGCUCCGGCUAACUCCGUGCCAGCAGCCGCGGUAAUACGGAGGGAGCUAGCGUUGUUCGGAAUUACUGGGCGUAAAGCGCGCGUAGGCGGUCUUUUAAGUCAGAGGUGAAAGCCCGGGGCUCAACCCCGGAAUAGCCUUUGAAACUGGAAGACUUGAAUCUUGGAGAGGUCAGUGGAAUUCCGAGUGUAGAGGUGAAAUUCGU
rnacentral:rRNA from 1 species